rnacentral:rRNA from 1 species
CGGGGUAGAGUAACGCGUGAGGAACCUGCCUCAAAGAGGGGGGAAACAGUUGGAAACGACUGCUAAUACCGCAUAAGCCCACGGCUCGGCAUCGAGCAGAGGGAAAAGGAGUGAUCCGCUUUGAGAUGGCCUCGCGUCCGAUUAGCUAGUUGGUGAGGUAACGGCCCACCAAGGCGACGAUCGGUAGCCGGACUGAGAGGUUGAACGGCCACAUUGGGACUGAGACACGGCCCAG